AUUGAACGCUGGCGGCAUGCUUUACACAUGCAAGUCGAACGGUAACAGGGAGCUUGCUCCGCUGACGAGUGGCGAACGGGUGAGUAAUAUAUCGGAACGUACACAAGAGUGGGGGAUAACGUAGCGAAAGUUACGCUAAUACCGCAUACGAUCCAAGGAUGAAAGCAGGGGACCUUCGGGCCUUGUGCUCCUGGAGCGGCCGAUAUCUGAUUAGCUAGUUGGUGAGGUAAAGGCUCACCAAGGCGACGAUCAGUAGCUGGUCUGAGAGGACGACCAGCCACACUGGAACUGAGACACGGUCCAGACUCCUACGGGAGGCAGCAGUGGGGAAUUUUGGACAAUGGGCGCAAGCCUGAUCCAGCAAUGCCGCGUGAGUGAAGAAGGCCUUCGGGUUGUAAAGCUCUUUUGUCAGGGAAGAAACGGGAGUGGCUAAUAUCCACUCCUAAUGACGGUACCUGAAGAAUAAGCACCGGCUAACUACGUGCCAGCCGCCGCCGUAAGAC
rnacentral:rRNA from 1 species